rnacentral:rRNA from 1 species
UGCGUAGGCGGUUUUGUGUGUCAGAUGUGAAAUCUUACUUUUCAUGAGUGAAAUUGCAUUUGAAACUGCAGAACUAGAGUACAGGAGAGGAGAGCGGAAUUCAUGGUGUAGCGGUGAAAUGCGUAGAUAUCAUGAGGAACAUCGGCGGCGAAGGCGGCUCUCUGGAAUGUUACUGACGCUGAGGCACGAAAGCGUGGGGGAGCGAACA